rnacentral:rRNA from 1 species
GACGAACGCUGGUGGCGUGCUUAACACAUGCAAGUCGAACGGAAAGGCCCUGCUUUUGUGGGGUGCUCGAGUGGCGAACGGGUGAGUAACACGUGAGUAACCUGCCCUUGACUUUGGGAUAACUUCAGGAAACUGGGGCUAAUACCGGAUAGGAGCUCCUGCUGCAUGGUGGGGGUUGGAAAGUUUCGGCGGUUGGGGAUGGACUCGCGGCUUAUCAGCUUGUUGGUGAGGUAGUGGCUUACCAAGGCUUUGACGGGUAGCCGGCCUGAGAGGGUGACCGGCCACAUUGGGACUGAGAUACGGCCCAGACUCCUACGGGAGGCAGCAGUGGGGAAUAUUGCACAAUGGGCGGAAGCCUGAUGCAGCAACGCCGCGUGCGGGAUGACGGCCUUCGGGUUGUAAACCGCUUUCGCCUGUGACGAAGCGUGAGUGACGGUAAUGGGUAAAGAAGCACCGGCUAACUACGUG